AGACCCAAGACCCGGAACCGGAAACAGACGCGUCUUCUUCUUCUUCGUGAGAAUGUCAGUGUCGCUGUUUCGUUCGGAUGUUCGUUGUUUCCACCCAGCUGCGCCCGCCGGAACGACCCCGAGUGUGUCGCAAGCUGAAACGUGAGCCUCUUCCACAACCACAAGCGUCUUUGUGUAAAGAAUCACAGCUUUGGAUCCAGUUUACUCGGUGACCUCUCCAUUGCCUUUGCAGAAUCAAAACACUCCUGAGGUGAUGUCUAACUGAUCCCUAGCAAAACUGAGGGGGAAAAAACAGCUUCCUAAAGGGGCAGUAAAUCAUGUUGGAUGAAACAAUCUCAGGGGACUCCGCUGUCUUUACUUCACACAUGACUUCAGUGUACGUAUCAGUGUGAGUGCACGUGCAUGUUCUGAAUCCCAAUUAGUCUAGUAUGGGUUAAUCGUUUGACUCUCCCUUUUUUCUCAUUCGUAGCCCUCACUCGUUUGCCAACUCUUCCUCCUUUUGGCACCUUUACAUUUCCCCCACCAUCAGUUUAUUCUGUCUGGUGAUUCCCUUUCACUCACUGCAUUUAAUAAUUGAGCAGUCGUGUGAGAUGGCGUCUUUGCGAGCAGGCUCCCAAGAACACAUUCAGGCCAAAGAAACUGAUGAGGAUGUUGUAUGCCUGUAGCUCGGGUGUGCCCCAAAUAUCACACACACAAUGUCAUGGCAUACAUGUGCGUCCUUGAAAAUGUAGUCCUGGUAUCUCUGUCUUUUACCGUGUCCCCUGUUGGUCACAUCACGGUGACGGGGACCACAGAUGGUGGGCAGCGCAGCGUCUUCAACCCCACACACACACUAAGGCCCGUCGUCGCUGUGAGCUCCAGCAAGGGAGAGAUGACUUCAAACCAGCUCUGAUUUCCAUUGCUGGGCUGCCCACUGUGCAAUUUUAAUGAGCAUCGAGGCUGUUUUGGGACUGGUCGGCACUAAAACCCCCUGAGGACUUUGGGUGAGUAAGAGCGUGUGUGCGUGUCUGUAUGUGUGUAGUUGUAAAGUCACAGUGUGGCUUCACCUCGCGUGAGUUGUACUGGAGUGCACUGGGGGAUCUAUGGGGGAGGGGAUUUUAGAAUAAGUGAAUAAGAGCGUCAUUGUUUCAUUCACUUCAUUACGCACACAGCACAUAUACAGCAGGUUACCAGACAUACACCCCUUUAAUCAUUGACUUGUUGAAACCAAUAACGGGAUGUGGACACACAAUUAAAACCUACACAACAAGGGAUAAGAGGGGCACUAAGUUCAUUAUGUGCAAUCCCACUGAUGCACGGACACACAUGCUCAUUUAAUCCAGCACAUGCCUGUUGGAUACUCAGUGAAAACAAGCGAGUGUUGUACUGAUGCAUUUACAACAAAGGUUGUUUUGUAAUAGUGAGGAAAUUAAACUUAAAAAACCCCAAAAACAUAGAGGGCAAAGAGAGAAACACAUAAACAAGACAUGGGUGGAGCUGAUUUAAAUAAUUUUUAACAAAAUAAGUGCGGAAAUCAACAUAUGUCCUUCAUGCUUCACAAAACUGAGGUGAAGUCUCCUCCCUGUGCCCUCCACACAUCCUCUUCCCGUCCUUUUCCUUUUGCCCCUCGUUUCCAUCCUCCAGAGGAGAAAGAGAGAGGGGGGGUUUAGCUUCUCUCCU